AUGGCCUCCGCCGCUGCGGCGGCCCCAGUCGUGGGCCAGGUCGUGGAGCGGUUCCGCGCGCGGCUGCGGGAGGAGGCGGGAGAGGAGCCGGGGGCGGCCGCGGUGGUGGGCGUCUACAAGGAGGCCCUCGCCGAGCUCACCUUCAACUGCAAGCCCAUCAUCACCGAGCUUACCAUCAUCGCGGGCCAGCACGCCGCGCUCGCCGCCAGGGGCAUCGCCGACGUCAUCUGCGCCCGCAUCCUUGAGGUGCCAGUCGAGCAGAAAUUGCCAUCUUUGUAUCUGCUAGAUAGUAUCGUGAAGAACAUAGGACGAGAAUAUGUAGAGGACUUUGCCACUCGAUUGCAGAAGGUAUUUUGUUUUGCAUACAGGGAAGUUCAUCCCAAACAGCAUCCUGCAAUGCGACACCUCUUCCGUACCUGGUCGCAAGUGUUCCCUUCUUCUGUCCUUCAAGGGAUCGAGGAUGAGCUUCAGUUUUCUCCUUCAGAGAAUAAGCGUCCUGCCACAACGACUAUUCCGCGACAGCCAGAGUCGUUAUCUCCUAGGCCAUCUCAUGGCAUCCAUGUAAAUCCAAAGUAUCUAGAAGCGCAACACCAACUCAAGAAUGGUACCAAGGUGGAUCAGCUAGCAACUCGAGGCAGGCAAAUGCUUGACGUGGCGGAGGAUCAUAUUAAUGGGUUAACAACAAAUAGUUUGCGGGGAUUUCCUUCCACUUCUUCAAAGCUCCAGAGAUCUAUGAUACCGUAUACUGAAAAUCCUGAUCAACAAGAAACAUUUCAAUCACGUAUUGGAUUGAUAAGAAGAGAUAUGUCCAGAUCACCACCUCCUGAUGUGCUCCCUAGGAAUGCAUCCCCAAAAAGACCACUAGAGAUGCCGCAGCUGUCUCAUUCUGUAUUGGGGCAUGAUCCUAGAAGAUUGCCUGAUAGAAAUGGUUGGUUUGAAUGGCAACAUGCUUUUGAGGAUAGUGCACAACGGCCUUCGAUGAGCACGCUUGAUGAAGAAUAUAGGAAACAAAGUGCAAGAGAACUUAUUGAUGCCUACGGAAAUUCUCAAGGCAAUGAUGCUGAUGAUAGGCUUCCCAAGAUGCAACGGCUAGAAUCAAAUGGCAUGGCAAGUAGAUCCAGUGCACAAAAAUGGCUCACUUCAGAGGAAGAGGAGUAUACUUGGGAGGAUAUGCGUCCAACUUUGUCCCGAAAUAGAAACAACAUUCUGUCUUUACCUUCCUCUGAAACUUUGAGAGCUGGAUUUCCUGGGCCAAACACUGGGCAGCUGGAUUCUGAUAUUGGGAUGCGCAGCUGGCGAAGCCAGGCUCCUCGACCAGCACUAAAUCUCGAAGACAGGACUGGUCAUGUUGACAUAGCCACUAGUAGGAGAUAUCCAGGCAAUUUUGGUCUGCAAAAUGGAGCUAUUUCAGAGUACCAUAGUUCUGAGAAUACCCUUGAUCCUGGAAGAAUUCUUGCUAUGUCAGCUCCACCGUGGCAGCAGACUAAUGGCCUGCCUUUGCGAAUACAAGCACCUCAACCUUCAUCAACACUGAAUAGGUUGGCACUGCCCACUGAUGUUGAAAUGCCUGUCAAGAUGUUGGCCACUGGUGGUCCAUAUGAUGCUAUGCAUGUAGACUUACCCUUGACUAAUAGGUCCUCGCCUGCUCCUGCUCCCAUAGAAUGGCCUCUUCAUCAUCAUAGUCAACCACCACAUAAUACAAAAGAUAUUAGAGGUGCAACAGAUAGUCUUGAAGUUAGGCCAUUUAUCAGGCAUGGAGUCAAUUCAUCUGUAUUUGUUCCUCGGCAUCUAUAUGAUGCAUUGGAUCGGAAAACUGUAAGUACCGGUAACUUAGCUCAACCACCAUACCAGCACCCAGAUUUGUUGUCAUCGAGUCAACAAAAUCAAGGUACAAAUUUUGGAAAUCAAUCUCAGCCUCAUGAUGUGCCACAGUUUCAUCCUCAUUCCCAUUCCCAUCCUCCGGAGGCAUUUAGAAGCUUUGCCCCCAGCAUGCCUAUAGCUCCCCCCCAAAAUCCAUUCCAAGGACAAGGAGGUAGUGCAGCAGUACCACCAGUUACACCUCUACCAAACACCUUUUCUGUAACACCUACUGUGCAACCCUAUGGUGUGUCGUCAGUGUCUAGUUUUGCUCUGCCUCCAUUACAUCGUGGCCUACCUCCUGCUUCGUUGCAGAUGGGUCCAUCUUCAUCACAAGUUGGUGGGCCUACAACAUAUUUCUCUGGAAUUUUAAGUAACCUUAUGAAUCAUGGUGUAAUUACACUGGAGCCUUCUAGUCAACCUCAGGACUCUGUUGGAGUUGACUUCAAUGUAGACCUCAAGGUGCGGAACGAGUCUGUCAUUAAUGCUCUGUAUCAGGAUCUCCACAGGCAAUGCAAAACGUGUGGCCUUCGUUUUAAAUGCCAGGAAGAGCACCGUGCUCAUAUGGAUUGGCAUGUUACGAAAAACAGAAAUUCCAAAAAUCGCAAGCAAUCUUCACGUAAAUAUUUUGUCACCGUGGGGGAAUGGUUAAGAGCAGCAGAAACGGUAGGAAAUGAUGGUGUUCCUUCUUUCGAGCUCACGGAACCAAUCCCUGACAGAAAUGAAGAGAAAGAAAUGGCUGUUCCUGCCGAUGAAAACCAAACAACAUGUGCUUUAUGUCAAGAGCCAUUUGAGGAUUUCUACAGCGAUGAAACUGAAGAGUGGAUGUACAAAGGUGCAGUUUACAUGAAUGCACCUGAUGGUAAUAUUGUUGGUCUCCAGAGGUCGCAUUUGGGGCCUAUUGUCCAUUCCAAAUGUCGAUCUGGCCCCAGUAAUAUUUCUUAG
rnacentral:rRNA from 1 species